rnacentral:lncRNA from 1 species
UGAUCAUGUUUCCUUGCUUGGAGCGGCUGGAGAUUACGAGGUGUCCCUUGUUGAAAAGUGUUCCACUAACGGGACAAUGCUCAUCUCUUCAAAAGCUUCACAUUUCCAGUUGUGAAAAAUUAAGCAAGAUUGGAGAUGGAUUAUCUACCUCCACUUGUCUCAAAAAAUUACAUCUAGGCAAUUGUCCUGAUUUAAGUUCGAUCCCAAAUUUGGAAGGAUUUUCCUCUCUUCAAGAUCUGUCAGUUUGUGGGUGCCUCAAAUUGGAAGUUCUUCCAAUAACUGGAGGAUGUUCAUCUCUUGAAGAGCUGGAGAUUACGAGGUGUCCCUUGUUGAAAAGUGUUCCACUAACGGGACAAUGCUCAUCUCUUCAAAAGCUUCACAUUUGGGAUUGUGAAAAAUUAAGCAAGAUUGGAGAUGGAUUAUCUACCUCCACUUGUCUCAAAAAAUUACAUCUAGGCAAUUGUCCUGAUUUAAGUUCGAUCCCAAAUUUGGAAGGAUUUUCCUCUCUUCAAGAUCUGUCAGUUUGGGGGUGCCUCAAAUUGGAAGUUCUUCCAAUAACGGGACAAUGUUAUUCUCUUGAAAAGCUUCGCAUUUGCGAUUGUGAAAAAUUAAGCAAGAUUGGAGAUGGAUUAUCUACCUCCACUUGUCUCAAAAAAUUAAAUCUAAUCAUUUGUCCUGAUUUAAGUUCGAUCCCAAAUUUGGAAGGAUUUUCCUCUCUUCAAUAUCUGUCAGUUCGAUGUUGCAAGAAAUUGGAAGUUCUUCCAAUAACCGGAGGAUGUUCAUCUCUUGAAAAGCUUCGCAUUUCCAGUUGUGAAAAAUUAAGCAAGAUUGGAGAUGGAUUAUCUAC